rnacentral:lncRNA from 1 species
UCCGUAGAUUCAAAUAUUUGCAAUUUGUUAAUCACAAGGAGUUGUGAUUGUGAGAUACAAAUUACAUCUGAUUGAAUCUUAAAUCAUCCGUGGUCGUAAGUAAUAACGAGAUACGGAUAUCGUUAUUACGGAUAGAUCAUCACGUGUGGCAUUUCUUACUUGUGAAGUAAGUAGCUGAUCUCACAAGUUAAAGUGUGGUGACACUUAAAUGAACACGUGGAUGUUUGUUAUAGAACAAAACAUUGGAGACCCGUCGAGAGAUUCCACUUGGAUAACUAUCUGAGU